rnacentral:rRNA from 1 species
GUGCCAGCAGCCGCGGUAAUACGUAGGGUGCGAGCGUUAUCCGCCAGCAGCCGGCGGUAAUGAGCUCGUAGGCGGUUUGUCGCGUCUGUCGUGAAAGUCCGGGGCUUAACCCCGGAUCUGCGGUGGGUACGGGCAGACUAGAGUGCAGUAGGGGAGACUGGAAUUCCUGGUGUAGCGGUGGAAUGCGCAGAUAUCAGGAGGAACACCGAUGGCGAAGGCAGGUCUCUGGGCUGUAACUGACGCUGAGGAGCGAAAGCAUGGGGAGCGAACAGGAUUAGAUACCCUGGUAGUCC